rnacentral:rRNA from 1 species
UAGGGAAUCUUCCGCAAUGGGCUAAAGCCUGACGGAGCAACGCCGCGUGAGUGAUGAAGGUCUUCGGAUCGUAAAACUCUGUUAUUAGGGAAGAACAAAUGUGUAAGUAACUAUGCACGUCUUGACGGUACCUAAUCAGAAAGCCACGGCUAACUACGUGCCAGCAGCCGCGGUAAUACGUAGGUGGCAAGCGUUAUCCGGAAUUAUUGGGCGUAAAGCGCGCGUAGGCGGUUUUUUAAGUCUGAUGUGAAAGCCCACGGCGCAACCGGGGAGGGUAAUUGGAAACUGGAAAACUUGAGUGCAGAAGAGGAAAGUGGAAUUCCAUGUGUAGCGGUGAAAUGCGCAGAGAUAUGGAGGAACACCAGUGGAGAAGGCGACUUUCUGGUCUGUAACUGACGCUGAUGUGCGAAAGCGUGGGGAUCAAACAGG